UAAUUGAGAGGUAUCGUAAAAAGUACCAGAACAGUGAAAAGGAGCAUCAAACAUGGACCCCGGAUUGGAGAAGACUCCCAAGAGAGGUGAAGCCAAAGAAAAAGACCAAAAAAGCUUGCUUCUGCAGAGUUGUAAACCAGAUCCUUCAACAGCAGUUGGAGCUGGUAUUGCUUGUUUUUACAGAAAAAUCUUCUAUUACACAGCAUCAUACAUGUAUUUGUUUUUCAAAGUGUUUUUUAGUAUGCAUGACUGUUAUUUUAAGUUCUCUGUAGAAGUCUGUUGGUCUGUUGAUGUGAAAUAACACUUGGUCUUCGGUAUCUAGCUGUUUCAUAUAUAAUUGUUUAUUUUCUUGCUCUCUUUAUCCAAUUUCAUGUGCCAUUUUUCGGUUCGAGGUUAAAAUAGAAAAAGAAAUGUGCAGUAGUCAUGGAGACUGGCUCAGCUGGAAGCUUUGUUCCUUUUAAGAGCGUCAUUGAGAAUCAUGGUACUAAAGGUAGACUGCCAGAUUCAACUGAAAAUUAAAAACUUAUCUGCAAAAUCUCUAAAGAUUAGACCAGUACAUACCUACUUUUUUUUUUUCCGGAAGAAGAAACUGCAUUGGCUUUCAUAAGCCUAUAUGUAAUAAUUAGCUCCUCAAGAUCCAAUGAAAUCAUAAAUGCUGAUUUAUUAUUCCUUGUUACUAUAAUGUGAUUAUCAUAAACAAAGAGAAUCACUGCUCACUGUGGAGGAUUUUUCCUCUUUAUGUUGUGCCAGUUUCUCUAUCUGCUCUUAAAAGUUCAUUUUCUUACAUAGCUGUAAUGGCAAAGAUCAGCUGACCAUCAGAAUUUGAUUGGAUUAAAAAAAAUAGGUUCCUCUAAAAGCAAAAUUCAUGUGGUUUUAGUUUAGGGUUUUUUGAGAAUCCUGAUGAUACAGAGGCCAUAAAAAAGUCAUGUGACUCAGGAGGUUUGUAAAUAGCUGAUCAGUGACACAUUAGCCCUUCUGGUACAUAUUUUUAUUGUAUUUUGAGGACAGCCAUCUUAGGUGACACUUUAUAACCAAGUGGAACAAAGGUGAGGGAGUCAACAGAAUCUGCAUGGGAAUUCAAACAGGCUUCUUACUGUUCUACCUUUGUAGAUCAUAGAAUCAUUUAAGUUGGAAAAGACCUUUAAGAUCGAGUCCAGCCAUCAACGAUGCUCACUAAACCAUGUCCUGAAGUGUCUUGUCUAUGUGCUUUUUGAAUACCUCCAGGGAUGGUGACACCACCACUUCCCUGGGCAGCAUGUUCCAAUGCCUGACAACUCCUUCAGUAAAGAAAUUUUUCCUAAUAUCCAAUCUAAACCUCCCCUCCCACAACUUGAGGCCAUUUCCUCUUGUUACUUGGGAGAAGAGACUGACCCCCUGCCAUGGUUUAACUCCAGCCAGCAACUAAGCACCACUUCCCCCCCACCCAGUGGGAUGGGGGAGAAAAUCGG
rnacentral:lncRNA from 1 species